rnacentral:piRNA from 1 species
UGGCAGUGCUUUCGAUGCCUGGCUUAAA